rnacentral:rRNA from 1 species
GAUGAACGCUAGCUACAGGCUUAACACAUGCAAGUCGAGGGGAAACGCCAUUCGCAGGCUUCUUUUGUUUGGGCGUCGACCGGGGAAGGGGGACGUAACGCAACUCCAUCUUCCCCACAAUUAGGGGCUAACAUCCGGAACUAAGACCUAAUACCAAUUUAGGCCCCAAGAGACAAAAGAAAAAGGCUUAAUGUUUAUUGGGUGUGGAUGGGGAUGCGUUUGAUUAGCUUUGUGGUAGGGUAACGGCCCACCAAGGCGACGAUCAGUAGGGGUUCUGAGGGUAAGGUCCCCCACAUUGGAACUGAGACACGGUCCAAACUCCGACGGGAGGCAGCAGUGAGGAAUAUUGGGCAAUGGAGGAGAGUCUGAACCAGCCAAGUAGCGUGCAGGAUGACGGCCCUAUGGGUUGUAAACUGCUUUUAUAAGGGAAUAAAGUGAGUCUCGUGGGACUUUUUGCAUGUACCUUAUGAAUAAGGACCGGCUAAUUCCGUG